rnacentral:ribozyme from 13 species
UUUUUUUUUUUUUUUUUUUUUUUUUUUUUUUGCU